GUUCCUAUGGUCUAGUGGUUAUGACGCUUCGUUGUGGUUCCACUGAAGCCAGAUCCGAAGCAGCCCGUGUUCGAUUCACGGUGGGGACA